UAUGUUCUUUACUACCCUCGCAGCGCCCUUGCGUCUUGCUUCUCACAACCUGUUGCGUCUAGAAUUUUAGAUGUGAUGGAACUGCCAAAUUUGAGCUCUAACCAAAACCCUGAAGUCGAAAUAGAAAUAAAUGGGGGUCUUUUAGACUCGAUCAUAAAUUAUGACUGGGGCGCAAGAAAUAUUUCGAGCAAGAUCGAGCUCUUGCACAGAGAACUAAUGUUGAGAACUACGAAAGGGGAGUGCUUCAAUGCUUUCGGUGACCAGCUUGGAUCUCCUGCCAGAUCGUUAUCGUUUUACCAAGAGCAGCUUGUUUCUUUAAGCAAAGUCAACCGCUGCGGUGCUUGGAACAAGGCUUUAGGCAAUGAACGACAAAGGAGUGGCGCUAAAAGCUAUGAUAGUUUUAAAAAAUUAUCAGCUACAUUUUUCCUUUUAGUAUGCUUCUCGAUGAUAAUCAACUAAAACGUAUAAAAUAUACAAUAAAUGAGAAGAGACGGAAAUUAAAUAUAUAAUAAAUUAGUGACU